UACGUAGGGUCCAAGCGUUAUCCGGAAUUACUGGGCGUAAAGAGUUGCGUAGGUGGCAUGACAAGUCGGUAGUGAAAGCGUGAGGCUCAACCUCAUACACAUUAUCGAAACUGUCGAGCUAGAGCAUAGUAGAGGUACCUGGAAUUCCUAGUGUAGGAGUGAAAUCCGUAGAUAUUAGGAGGAACACCGAUGGCGUAGGCAGGGUACUGGGCUAUUGCUGACACUAAGGCACGAAAGCGUGGGGAGCGAACGGG
rnacentral:rRNA from 1 species